AACAAGGCGUACCUGCGGACCUGCGGAGGGAUCAUUACAAGUGACCCCGGUCUAACCACCGGGAUGUUCAUAAUCCUUUGUUGUCCGACUCUGUUGCCUCCGGGGCGACCCUGCCUUCGGGCGGGGGCUCCGGGUGGACACUUCAAACUCUUGCGUAACUUUGCAGUCUGAGUAAACUUAAUUAAUAAAUUAAAACUUUUAACAACGGAUCU
rnacentral:misc_RNA from 1 species